CCUACGGGGGGCAGCAGUGAGGAAUAUUGGUCAAUGGCCGCGAGCCUGAACCAGCCAAGUCGCGUGAGGGAUGAAGGUUCUAUGGAUCGUAAACCUCUUUUAUAAGGGAAUAAAGUUUGCCACGUGUCCUUUUUUGCAUGUACCUUAUGAAUAAGCAUCGGCUAACUCCGUGCCAGCCUCCGCGGUAAUACGGAGGAUCUGAGCGUUAUCCGGAUUUAUUGGGUUUAAAGGGUGCGUAGGUGGAUUGUUAAGUCAGUUGUGAAAGUUUGGGGCUCAACCGUAAAAUUGCAGUUGAAACUGGAAGUCUUGAGUGCAGUAGAGGUGGGCGGAAUGCGUGGUGUAGCGGUGAAAUGCUUAGAUAUCACGAAGAACUCCGAUUGCGAAGGCAGUUCACUGGACUGCAACUGACACUGAGGCUCGAAAGUGUGGGUAUCAAACAGGAUUAGAUACCCGGGUAGUC
rnacentral:rRNA from 1 species